rnacentral:misc_RNA from 1 species
GAAAUGCGAUAAUUAAUGUGAAUUGCAGAAUUCAGUGAAUCAUCGAGUCUUUGAACGCACAUUGCGCCCCCUGGUAUUCCGGUGGGCAUGCCUGUCCGAGCGUCAUUGCUGCCCUCAAGCACGGCGUGUGUGUUGGGCUUCCGUCCCUGGCAACGGGGACGGGCCCAAAAGGCAGUGGCGGCACCAUGUCUGGUCCUCGAGCGUAUGGGGCUUUGUCACCCGCUCCCGUAGGUCCAGCUGGCAGCUAGCCUCGCAACCAAUCUUUUUAACCAGGUUGACCUCGGAUCAGGUAGGGAUACCCGCUGAGCUUAAGC